CUUGGAUUGACCUGCUAUAGGAAAAAACGGCACACUGUGUGAAUGGAAGUCACCCCUGCAUGUUUGCCCUAAUAAACAUUAAAGAAACACAUCAGCCUAGCGACUUCAGCUGAGCUGAAACUGCUAAUUCUGUGACCACGCUUCUCUCUCUGGGUGAAUGAAUAUCUCACAGGAAAAAAAAGACUCUGUCCCACAAAAUAUUUUUCUCCUCAUCUUUCACAUGCAUGGAUUUAUGAAGGUGGAUGAACAAUGCAAUCUUCAGAUGAUGGCACAAACUUUCUUACCAUUUUAUUGCCUAUGCAGUUGCAUAAGAUGACAAACCAGCACAGUACUGUCUGCAAUAAUGAAUUGCACGGAUUCUAUCCCAUUA